CUUAGAAUAUCUUGUUUUUAUGAAAAAGAUAUUAAAAUUUCUAGAUCUAUUUUUAUUAUUAAUGAGAAGAAAAGGAUUAGUGAAUAAAAUGGCGGAGAUAAAAAUGAAUUUUCGUCAAAGAGUAAGUAUAUGUGAAAUAAUGAGACUUUUUUUUUCUUCUUUUUUUUUGCACGAGUGUUUGUGGAUGCAAUCUCGAGUAAUAAUCGCGCCCAAGAUGAAAUCUCGAUGGUACAGACAUAAUCUACGUCCAAUCUGCCAAUACUGUUAGCUAAUAACACGACAUUAGUCGGUGAAUAUUGCAGCAACAUCGAAAGGAGAUGGUAUAAAUUCCAAAUGAGUAAUUUCGAGGCGUAUUGGCGAUUUCGUUGGAAUCGAAUUGAAUCGUCAAAGGAAUGUGAUUGUAAUAAAGCAUAAUUUGAAUCGUACACGAAUAUAAUUUUAUAAAUAAUUUUGAACGUGUUAAAAAUUUAUAUUCGAGAAAUAUAUGUGCAGAAAGUUAUAUUCGAUUUCAAGAUGGCUAAUCAGUGGCUAAUUAACGUUAGAAUGAUCGUAAUUUGGAUUAUGAAAGUUCACAUUGCAUCCUGGUGUAAGCAGUGAGGUAAUUGUAUCGGUGUUUUCUCACGAUUCUUACCUCUGUACUGAGACGCUGCAUGAAAGUGGUAAGAUGCUCCGUCAAGGUCUUCGUCAGCUUGAAGAGGACUUAGGCUCAAAAGUUUUGGCGCCUCGGCGUGGCCACGAAACCAACGCAUUUCUGGAAUAACAUUAAUAACAACAAUUAUCAAAUUUCUUAAUAUCGAAAGAUUGCAAAGUAAACGAUCGAUCGGUAUAAUAAUAAUAAUUUAUAAAAGUGAAACGAGUUACACUUGCGGUGAAUGGAUUUCGCGUGAACGAAUGGCGACAGUUUCCGCCGUGUUCGCUGAACCGAGGCCCUUCCUUUCUAUCUCGUGAUUGCACUUGUUACUGAUACUGAAUAUUGUGUAAAAAAAAAAGAAAAAAAGGCUUGAUGAACGGGCAACCUUGGCAAAGAAUGGAGGAUGUCAUAAAUUACGAGGCUAUCGUUAAAUCAAUUCAUUGCUACGUUCGACUCGAAAUGCGUCGAUCACAUCGACGAUGUGGAUUAUGGAAUAUUUCAAAAAAGUCAUACAUUCGGAAAAUUCUCAUUCCUUCUUUUUUUUAUUUCGAUCUACCGAGUCAUUUAUUGAUCGAGAUUCAUCGAUAUACAGGCUAGAGGAAUUUAACAAGUGAUUACGUGAUGGACAAAUAUUGUAUUGCUACCUCUUCUUGCAGGAAAAAUUCCUUUCUUGAAGUAACGCUCCUUCUAAACAGAAUAUUACAUUUCAAGAUAAUUAACAUUACUGCAAUUUUUCCAAUUUCUACUAACAAUAGAUCUAUUGGAGAAAAAAAACAAUAUUCCAUCAGAAGUCAGGAUUAUUAAAAAAAAAAUAGACAUAAUCUAUUUUUAUAACUUAUAUAUAUCAUACUAUCGUAAUGAUAUUCGGUUUACAAAUCUAUUUCAAAACAAUUCCAAAGAAUCCAAAGAAAUUAAUCUCUCGGAAAGGAGAAGAAGCGAGGAAAAAAAAAGAAAAAAAAUUAGUAAACAUCUCGAAGAAAUUUGCCUCAUGUACUACUUACAUAAGUACCGUUGCAUAGCAACUGUCGAUGACGAAGCUGUCCUCUUCCCUCUGGCGAGAAUACAUCGUUCGAUCUAUCGUGAUUCUCUGUCAGACGGGAUCCUCACGGAGGCGUUACCGUUCAUCUGUUCCUCGUAGAGACCGUAAUUUAGCCACCUUGUACACUCGUCGAAACGAACCAAGGAACAUAAUAGCUUCUACGAUAACGGUCCAAUCCACGGUGGAAUCCUUCGUGGCGAAUCUUAAUUUUUCCGUGUGAUAGACGCCUCGAUGCGUAACGAGGGAUUUCGAGCGCAUUAUUAUCUUGUCAAGAUUCAAAACGGAACUGUCUUACGUUCGUUAUCGAUUGAACGUAUCAUUAUUUUUUUUUGGAAAUAGGAAUAUCGUUAAUCGUUUGCAAGAUAAAAAGAUUCAAUAUAAUCUUCUUGCAUGAAGAGAAGAAAUAAUAAUGAAUUAAAAGAAAUAUACGUACGAUCGAGUUCGUUUUGAAGAAAUUCACAUAUUUCCCAGUGAGCAUGGAAAUUUUGCUGCAUACACGCACGUGUAGAAUCCUGUUUCCACGUAAUGAGAUGAGAUUAAUACCGCGAAAUCGAGUUAUGCAAGGUGUUAAUGCAUCGAUUAUGUAGCGCGCGAGCAGCGUGAGAGAAAGAGGCGAGGGGAAGACGAGAGAUGCGACUUUCUCCGAUGCAAAUAUGUGUGCCGUUGCUUCCACGACCGCGUCCACUUUUCACUUUUCAUUCAGACGACCGAUGACUAUCGAAGAAGAUGAAUCGAGGAUCAAGGGUUGGCCUUCCGUCGACACCAGGUUCACGGUCAAGCGAACCCGACUCGAGAAAACGCACUGGUUUCUGACACUUGGACGGUCGCGAUUACCAUGUAGAUACUCAGAAAAUAUAUAAUCGUUAAAAUUAGAAUUGUAUUUUAUUUCUUCUGGAAUGUAUCGUUUCAAUAAUUAUUUAAAGGCGGAUGUAUUGUACAUGUAAAUUCUUUUUUAAAAUAUAAAUUUUCUUGGAAAAAUUUGUGGAUGUUGUGUUCAAUUUUCUGUCAUGUGAAUCCCAUCGAUCGAACAUUUGAAGUCAACCAAUGUAUAUUUCUU